AGAGUUUGAUCCUGGCUCAGGAUGAACGCUAGCGGCAGGCCUAACACAUGCAAGUCGAGGGGUAACAUAGUAGCUUGCUACUGAUGACGACCGGCGCACGGGUGCGCACCGCGUAUGGAACCUACCUUUUACAGGGGAAUAGCCUUUGGAAACGAAGAUUAAUGCCCCAUAGUAUCAUUAUACAGCAUUGUAUUUUGAUUAAAGGCUUCGGCCGGUGAAAGAUGGCCAUGCGUCCCAUUAGUUUGUUGGUAAGGUAACGGCUUACCAAGACUACGAUGGGUAGGGGCCCUGAGAGGGGGAUCCCCCACACUGGUACUGAGACACGGACCAGACUCCUACGGGAGGCAGCAGUGAGGAAUAUUGGACAAUGGAGGAGACUCUGAUCCAGCCAUGCCGCGUGCAGGAAGAAUGCCCUAUGGGUAGUAAACUGCUUUUAUACGGGAAGAAAAAGAGCUACGUGUAGCUUACUGACGGUACCGUAAGAAUAAGGACCGGCUAACUCCGUGCCAGCAGCCGCGGUAAUACGGAGGGUCCGAGCGUUAUCCGGAAUUAUUGGGUUUAAAGGGUCCGUAGGCGGGCGAUUAAGUCAGUGGUGAAAGUCUGCAGCUCAACUGUAGAAUUGCCUUUGAUACUGGUCGUCUUGAGUUAUAGUGAAGUUGCCGGAAUAUGUAGUGUAGCGGUGAAAUGCAUAGAUAUUACAUAGAACACCGAUUGCGAAGGCAGGUGACUAACUAUAUACUGACGCUGAUGGACGAAAGCGUAGGGAGCAAACAGGAUUAGAUACCCUGGUAGUCCACGCUGUAAACGAUGAGAACUAGAUGUUGGCCGGUUAUUUACUGGGCAGUAUCGCAGUUAACGCAUUAAGUUCUCCGCCUGGGGAGUACGGUCGCAAGAUUAAAACUCAAAGGAAUUGACGGGGGCCCGCACAAGCGGUGGAGCAUGUGGUUUAAUUCGAUGCUACGCGAAGAACCUUACCUACCCUUGAAAUCCCAGGAAUUUUCUAGAGAUAGAAAAGUGCCUUCGGGAACCUGGAGACAGGUGCUGCAUGGCUGUCGUCAGCUCGUGUCGUGAGAUGUUGGGUUAAGUCCCGUAACGAGCGCAACCCUUAUCUUUAGUUGCCAUCAGUUCGGCUGGGAACUCUAAAGAAACUGCCGGCGCUAAGCCGGAGGAAGGAGAGGACGACGUCAAGUCAUCAUGGCCCUUAUGGGUAGGGCAACACACGUGCUACAAUGGGGAGUACAGAGGGCUGCCAAGUCGCAAGACGGAGCCAAUCUCAAAAAGCUUCUCGUAGUCCAGAUUGAAGUCUGCAACUCGACUUCAUGAAGUUGGAAUCGCUAGUAAUCGCGAAUCAGAAUGUCGCGGUGAAUACGUUCUCGGGCCUUGUACACACCGCCCGUCAAACCAUGGGAGUGGAUUGUACCAGAAGCGGGUAGCCUAACCGUAAGGGGGGCGCCCACCACGGUAUGCUUCAUGACUGGGGUUAAGUCGUAACAAGGUA
rnacentral:rRNA from 1 species